AUCUUGCAGAACAGACUGCACUGGCUUCAUUGAAAGACAUGCUCCUCUUGGUCCUUGACUAGCUUAAGACAUCAUCAGAACCCCAGGAAAAUGUCACGAUGUAGGUGCAGAAAUCCUAAUCGCAGCAGGCGGAGACGAAAACGGGGUUCUGGAAGAUCAAGGAAAAGAAGGACGGGAAGAAGAGUCUCUGUAGCUCAUACAGUUUACUACUACAGGAAGAUCAAAUAGCUUUGCGAACCUCCCAUUCUAUGCAACAGUUCUGGACAUUUCGGUCAUCACCAACAAGAUGAUUUCUGAAUGAACCACAGUUCCAGCAAAGCACAUGGUUUGACAUUCCCGUUGCUGCUUCCCCAAAGAGGAGCAUUCUGUCAAUAAAAACCUGAAGCCGCAA